rnacentral:lncRNA from 1 species
GCUUUUAACUAGACUUGUUGGAAUUUUUGAGGUCUUCCUCAAAUAUUCUGUCCCAGUUAGAACUUUUGCUAAAUCUCAAAAUGUCCCAAUUUUUAUUACAAAGAGAAAAGAAAAUCACACUAGAUAUAUGACCGAACCGUUGUGACGCCUACAUAUCCUACUGAGUCAUAAAUCAGGUCAAAUGUAGUUUCAAUCCUGUAGAUGAUGAAUAC